CCCCCACCCUCACCCCCGGGUUCUGGCUUUACUGUCUGUGUGUCUGGCCUUUCUCCCUUCCCUUGCCCAUUUCCAAAGUUCCAGGACCCAAGCUACUGGGGAUGCUGCAUUCCAGAACAAUAUGGCGCUGCUGGUAAUGAGCCUCAGGCUCGCCAUCCCUGAGAGGAGUACUAGGAACAAGCACUGGAUGUCUGCCUCACCAGAUGCUCUUUAGGAAUUCAAAGAAUGGCUCUGUAUGUGGCUGAAGAGUUCUCUAUUCUGUCACUCUGUGACGAAGCAGGACCGCAGGACCCCCAUCCCUUAAAGUUCCUCACCCACGCCUGCCGAUGUGUGGUGUGUGGAUUCUCAAAGAACAUGGGCUUUGCGCAUGAGGUCAGGCCCCAAGGCACCAUGGGAGGUCAACAACAGGAUAUCGGGGCAAAGCCCCGGUGAAGAUCCAGUAUUGAUAGUGAAGCAAGCCAGAGGCCUCGAAACAAAUCAGUGACUUGUUGGAAUGAACAUUUGUGAGAACAACUUAGAAGCAGCUACCACUCUGUACCUCAGAUUCUCUGCCUCCGCCUAUGAACGGGAGGAUGAUCUUGUGUCUACCUUGUACAGUUGAUGUGGAUCAAGAAGCAAUACCUGCGAAGAUUCUAGAAUACAGCACGCACCGUCAUGCUAAUCGUAAGCUACAGGGUCUAACAAGCACCCGUGUGUGGCAGGACCAACCAGCCCUGCAGAUGUCAUUGCCUCUAAUUUCUUAACUGCUUUCCUCUCACUCUCUUUGCAGUGAUGGGGACAAUGAGCUGACUGAGCCCAACCUUAGGUCCCCGAGUUCCAAAGUGACCUCCCAUAACAUACUCAGCUUCACAGGAAUCAAGGCCCCGGGCGGAGGCCUGGCUGUGCAUGACUUUUGUGCACAGGCUCGUUCCUUGGCUUUUAUAUCUGGGGAUGGUGAUGCAGGCUUGUGACCCCGGCUCCUGGGAGGAUGGAGCAGGAGGACUGGAAGUCAAGGUCAUCCUCAGCUACACAGUAAAUGAGACCAGCGCAGGGCAUAGGAGAGUUCCAGGAAACAAAUACGCACCAGAGAGACCCACUCAGCAGCAGCCCUCUAGACAGCCCAGCGCGCCUGCUUGCUGCCUCUUUUCUUUCGCUGGCUUGAUGCAGUGGAGUUGGUAUCUGAGAUCCAGGGGAUGUUCCCAGGGAUGGUUAUCAUAAUGCAGUCACCACAGUGAGAUACUUACUCCUUAUCUCAGCUAUCUGCUCACAGAAGAAAGGCAAGCAGCAGUGGGGAGGGGUGCUUAGCCCCAAAGACAACAGGUGGAGUGGGGAGUGUGGCUUUUUGCAUAAUAAAGAGCUGGGGCAGAAAGACCCAGGCAGGAGACUCAGGGUCACUGAAGGAAGGCACAAAGGAGAUAGGACAGAGCUGAGAAGCAGGUGGUGGCACUCUUCAGUGGCUCCUCUUAGGAACUACAACAGUGGCAGCUCCAGUUCUCCCUUCUCCAGUCAGGUGUUGCCACACCAGGAAGUGCUCUGGUCAGAACUGUCAGUGGCCUUGCCUCACUAGGUCUGGAAGCGCUAACUGCCAAGUUUCCUCAAACCUGACCAUCCGGCACCACUGGACAGUGGUUACUCCUCCUCCUCACAUGGACUUCUACCACUCUCCUCUCUAUGAAUUCUGAAGGUGCAGUUCCCUUGGGUCAGUCUUUUUCCUGACUUGUCUGCGGUAACCUCACCCCUCAUCACAGCACUACAGUCACUCAAGACCACCUGUCACUGAGGACGACCUGUGCCCGGACCGUGCUACCUCAACUCUAACUGUACGUCAGGCUUCCUCCAAACUGGCCUACCUCCCUAGACAGCCUCAGCAACACAUACAGGACCCGAGCUUAUUGCUUCUCAGUCACUGUUCAGGAAACCUGUUGGAGCUACUGGGAAAUGUGUUCCGAAGACAUCUCUCUCUCUCUCUCUCUCUCUCUGUGUGUGUGUGUGUGUGUGUGUGUGUGUGUGUGUGUGUGUGUGUGUGUGUGUAAGGACAUUGCAUCCCCUAGAGCCGGGCUUACAAGAACUAUGAGCAGCCUAUGGUGAAUGUUGAGAACUGAAUUCAGCUUCUCUGGAUGAACAGUAAGCUCCUAACUGCUGGGCCACUCUGCAUCUUCACAAACCAGCACUUAUACAUUAGAAACUGCAGUGGCUGUCUGAUGCCUUCCUUCUUUCCACCUUUUCUCGUCCAGUUUUCUCUCAUGAGCAAGUCUGCAGACAUUUUGACAGUAUCCAGCACAAAAUUCGUUCUGAGUCCUGGGUUUCUGAGAGAAAUUAUGAUUGUUGUUACUUACUGAUAUUUGGCAAAUAGACUAUUUAUACUUUUGA